rnacentral:rRNA from 1 species
CCCCUGGGCGGCCUGCUUUACACAUGCAAGUCGAACGGUGAAGCAGAGCUUGCUCUGUGGAUCAGUGGCGAACGGGUGAGUAACACGUGAGCAACCUGCCCCUGACUCUGGGAUAAGCGCUGGAAACGGCGUCUAAUACUGGAUAUGAGCUGCGAUCGCAUGGUCAGCAGUUGGAAAGAUUUUUCGGUCUGGGAUGGGCUCACGGCCUAUCAGCUUGUUGGUGAGGUAAUGGCUCACCAAGGCGUCGACGGGUAGCCGGCCUGAGAGGGUGACCGGCCACACUGGGACUGAGACACGGCCCAGACUCCUACGGGAGGCAGCAGUGGGGAAUAUUGCACAAUGGGCGAAAGCCUGAUGCAGCAACGCCGCGUGAGGGAUGACGGCCUUCGGGUUGUAAACCUCUUUUAGCAGGGAAGAAGCGAAAGUGACGGUACCUGCAGAAAAAGCGCCGGCUAACUACGUGCCAGCAGCCGCGGUAAUACGUAGGGCGCAAGCGUUAUCCGGAAUUAUUGGGCGUAAAGAGCUCGUAGGCGGUUUGUCGCGUCUGCUGUGAAAUCCCGAGGCUCAACCUCGGGUCUGCAGUGGGUACGGGCAGACUAGAGUGCGGUAGGGGAGAUUGGAAUUCCUGGUGUAGCGGUGGAAUGCGCAGAUAUCAGGAGGAACACCGAUGGCGAAGGCAGAUCUCUGGGCCGUUACUGACGCUGAGGAGCGAAAGGGUGGGGAGCAAACAGGCUUAGAUACCCUGGUAGUCCACCCCGUAAACGUUGGGAACUAGUUGUGGGGUCCAUUCCACGGAUUCCGUGACGCAGCUAACGCAUUAAGUUCCCCGCCUGGGGAGUACGGCCGCAAGGCUAAAACUCAAAGGAAUUGACGGGGACCCGCACAAGCGGCGGAGCAUGCGGAUUAAUUCGAUGCAACGCGAAGAACCUUACCAAGGCUUGACAUAUACGAGAACGGGCCAGAAAUGGUCAACUCUUUGGACACUCGUAAACAGUGGUGC